rnacentral:rRNA from 1 species
UACAGAGGUCUCAAGCGUUGUUCGGAUCCAUUGGGCGUAAAGGGUGCGUAGGCGGCGCGGUAAGUCGGGUGUGAAAUCUCGGAGCUUAACUCCGAAACUGCAUUCGAUACUGCCGUGCUUGAGGACUGGAGAGGAGACUGGAAUUUACGGUGUAGCGGUGAAAUGCGUAGAUAUCGUAAGGAAGACCAGUGGCGAAGGCGGGUCUCUGGACUGGUACUGACGCUGAUGCGCGAAAGCGUGGGGAGCAAACAGG